UAUUGGUUCAAGUCCACAACGAACAUUCAUGCCUAUCAGACUACUGUUUUGAGUACCCCCAGAGCUUUGGCAUCAACGACUUGGACUUCCGUCUUGCAAAGUUUUUUCUUUUCUCCCAGUUUUUUCCAAAAAUAAACAAUCCUCUAGUUUACACAAACUUUCUUGUCCUUGUGAUAUUUGCUUGCGUGCUUAUCAAACUCGUAAUGAUCCGAUUAGUGAAAAUAGAGCUAAUGAUUUGUUUGAUUUAAUACAUUGCGAUAUUCGGGGUUCCUUCUAAUUGUGGUGCAUAUUACUUUCUUACGAUUGUUGAUGAUUUUUCUCGUGAUGUUUGGUAUAUUUGAUAUCUGCCAAGAGCAAAGUCAAACAAUUCAUCCAAUAUUUUUACGCAAUGGUUCACACUCAAUUUAAUAGAAGUAUAAAACUCUUGCGUAGUGACAAUGACUUAGAAUUUACUUCUCUACGUUAAUUCUAUGCUACAAAGGGAAUUAUACAUCAAACAUCUUGUGUUGACACCCAACAAAAUGGUCCCGUUGAGCGUAAACACCAACAUAUCCUUAAUGUGGCUAGAGCCUUGUGUUUUCAAACUAAUCUACCUUUUAAACUCUAAUACACCAGGAUUCCAAACUACAACAACUGUACCACCGCCUGAUAGCUCAAAUAGUUCUUCUGUAACUAAAGAUUCCUCUGCUACUCAUGCCUCUCCGUCCAUGGAUAAAGGAAAUUGUCUUCGACAACCAUCAAGUUGUCUCAAAGGAUACAUAACCAAUACAGUUCAAAUUCUUCCAACACCGGUCGCAUAUUCCACUUCACCAACUCCCUCAACACGGUCCUCAGAUCUGUUUACCAGAGGUAUAGACAUUCAAGCCGUAAAUGUUGUAAUCAAUUUUGAUUUCCUAAAGAACUCUGAAACCUAUCUGCACAGAAUAUGGACACCUUGGGUUGGCUGUUAAUCAAAGAACAUGUGAGGAUCGCUUUAAUUUAACAAAAUAGAACAGGAGCUUGGACUGAAGCCAAGCAAAUUCCUCCGCCUAGAUCAGGGUAUCUACUGCCUAUGAUAUAUUGCUGCUGCUGCGUACAGAUUAUUGGAUGGAAAUGUGUAUUGUUCUAUCCUUCUCUUGGCUAUCCCUCCCAUCACCUACCGCACUCAAACUCCUAUUUUGAAACACUGAGUUUGACGGUAUCCAUAGACUUUUACCUCCCGAGGAACCCUUAUCUUUCAAAGGAUUAUAAAGCUUGCUUUCAAGGGUGUGUUUCUGCUGGCUUUAGAUCUUGCUAGAGGAUUUUUAGGUAAUUUUCAACCAGUAGUGGGUAAGCCUGCAUUGUGGGAACUUGAUUCAGAUCAGCACUACAGUAUUGAGAGGCUUACCUCAUCCUUAUCUGAUGACCUUGGCAGGAAACAGCACUCAAUCAUGUGAAAUCUGCUGGCCUUUUAGGCGACAUCUUUGGUUCAACUCCAGAAAUGUGCAAAAGAUACUUGAUUUGGGUGGUUACUCGAAUGCAGGUAUGUAUAGAAUCUUUGUUCCUUCAAUUAAAUUAUCAGGUGGGAAAACAAAUGGAGUGUACGGUUGUGUUUCGAAAAUUCCCAAAAUACCUGACGGCUCAAUCAAACAAUAAAAGAAGGCAAUUGAUGCACCUUCGAAGGAUUCAAGGGAAGAAAACAAAGGCCGAUUGGCUGCUGCUGUUGAUCUUCAAGAAAUAAGGAAAGGAGAAGAACGUGUACACAGUUGCUGACUGCCGAACCGAAAAGAAAAAGAGUAAAAGAGACCUGCUGCUGUAUUUCGAACAUCAAGAAGAGGUGUGGUAUCUCCAAUUCCUGGACAACCUCAAUUCAUGGUCACUGGACAUUCUCCUCAGUUCAUUCAAGGCGGUGGUUCUGACCAAACAACUGCUUGAUAAGACUAAUUUAGGCACUGGAAGCCAUAGAGAAACUGCAAAGCAUGGAGCUGAAAUCGAAUGUACUUAACAUCUAAAAGUGAGUCCUGAGAACUCAAGAGCUCAUAUUUUAUAUAAUCAACAUCUACAUAUCGUAAUUUUUAAUUUUCGUGG